AUGCAUACACCUUUACCUUUUUCUUCUUUAACUUGUCUUAAUGCUCAAAAUCAUGGUUCAGAAAGUACAACUGGUGCAGGCCCUACUAGUGCAGAGUAUGUGCUACCUCGACCAAUACCUCAAUCAGCCUCUCACACAUCUCCUACCCCACUUGAUAAUGAUAAUACUAUACCUGAUAUGUCUCCAUCAUACAGUCAAGCCUGGCCUUUACCUACUGAACCUUUCUCUUAUGCAAAACAAUGUCUUUCCACAUAA